AGCUUUGUGCAGUGGCAGUAUCGUAGCCAAUGAGGUUUAUCUAUCUGAGUCAUGAUUAUUGCUAAUUAAAAGCAAAUGUGAAUAAAAUUCUUACACUAAUUAAGUUUUAAUAAGAUGGGAUAAUAAUUGUUGAUUGGCUGUGCUAGU
rnacentral:snRNA from 1 species